rnacentral:rRNA from 1 species
UAAGAGCUCGUAGGCGGUUUGUCGCGUCUGCCGUGAAAGUCCGGGGCUCAACUCCGGAUCUGCGGUGGGUACGGGCAGACUAGAGUGAUGUAGGGGAGACUGGAAUUCCUGGUGUAGCGGUGAAAUGCGCAGAUAUCAGGAGGAACACCGAUGGCGAAGGCAGGUCUCUGGGCAUUAACUGACGCUGAGGAGCGAAAGCAUGGGGAGCGAACAGGAUUAGAUACCCUGGUAGUCCAUGCCGUAAACGUUGGGCACUAGGUGUGGGGGACAUUCCACGUUUUCCGCGCCGUAGCUAACGCAUUAAGUGCCCCGCCUGGGGAGUACGGCCGCAAGGCUAAAACUCAAAGGAAUUGACGGGGGCCCGCACAAGCGGCGGAGCAUGCGGAUUAAUUCGAUGCAACGCGAAGAACCUUACCAAGGCUUGACAUGAACCGGUAAUACCUGGAGACAGGUGCCCCGCUUGCGGUCGGUUUACAGGUGGUGCAUGGUUGUCGUCAGCUCGUGUCGUGAGAUGUUGGGUUAAGUCCCGCAACGAGCGCAACCCUCGUUCUAUGUUGCCAGCACGUGAUGGUGGGGACUCAUAGGAGACUGCCGGGGUCAACUCGGAGGAAGGUGGGGACGACGUCAAAUCAUCAUGCCCCUUAUGUCUUGGGCUUCACGCAUGCUACAAUGGCCGGUACAAAGGGUUGCGAUACUGUGAGGUGGAGCUAAUCCCAAAAAGCCGGUCUCAGUUCGGAUUGGGGUCUGCAACUCGACCCCAUGAAGUCGGAGUCGCUAGUAAUCGCAGAUCAGCAACGCUGCGGUGAAUACGUUCCCGGGCCUUGUACACACCGCCCGUCAAGUCACGAAAGUUGGUAACACCCGAAGCCGGUGGCUAACCCCUUGUGGGAGGGAGCUGUCGAAGUGGGACUGGCGAUUGGGAC